AGGUCAGAUAUGUGGAUGUGUUGAUUUGAAUUUGAUUAGUCAGAUGUUAUAUCUACUAAUUUAGAAGAGACCCAAACUUAAAUCUUCUCACUAUAUGUUAAUGUUGCCCAGAUAUAGAGACUAAGAGGGGGAGUGAAUUGGAUCUUUUUAAAAUUUUUGUGAUUAGUGCACUCAAGUAAUAUGCUAUACUUGUUGAGUGGAGUGAAUUGAUUAGCU
rnacentral:lncRNA from 1 species